rnacentral:rRNA from 1 species
GAUGAACGCUGGCGGCGUGCCUAAUGCAUGCAAGUCGAGCGAACGGACGAGAAGCUUGCUUCUCUGAUGUUAGCGGCGGACGGGUGAGUAACACGUGGAUAGCCUACCUAUAAGACUGGGAUAACUUCGGGAAACCGGAGCUAAUACCGGAUAAUAUUUUGAACCGCAUGGUUCAAAAGUGAAAGACGGUCUUGCUGUCACUUAUAGAUGGAUCCGCGCUGCAUUAGCUAGUUGGUAAGGUAACGGCUUACCAAGGCAACGAUGCAUAGCCGACCUGAGAGGGUGAUCGGCCACGCUGGAACUGAGACACGGUCCAGACUCCUACGGGAGGCAGCAGUAGGGAAUCUUCCGCAAUGGGCGAAAGCCUGACGGAGCAACGCCGCGUGAGUGAUGAAGGUCUUCGGAUCGUAAAACUCUGUUAUUAGGGAAGAACAUAUGUGUAAGUAACUGUGCACAUCUUGACGGUACCUAAUCAGAAAGCCACGGCUAACUACGUG